ensembl:snRNA U6 U6 spliceosomal RNA
GUGCUUGCUUUAGUAGCACAUACACUAAAAUUGGAACGAUAAAGAGAAGAUUAGCAUGGCUCUUUCACAAGGAUGACACACAAAUUUGUGAAGUGUUCCAUAUUUUU